UACGUAGGAGGCGAGCGUUGUCCGGAUUUACUGGGCGUAAAGCGCGCGCAGGCGGCACUUCAAGUAAGGUGUGAAAUCUCCCUGCUCAACGGGGAGGGUGCACUUUAGACUGGGGAGCUAGAGGACGGUAGAGGGGGUGGAAUUGCUGGUGUAGCGGUGAAAUGCGUAGAUAUCAUUUGGAACGCCAAUGGUGAAAACAGGUAACUGGGAGUGUGCUGACGCUGAGACACGAAAGCCAGGGGAGCGAACGGG
rnacentral:rRNA from 1 species